rnacentral:rRNA from 1 species
UACGUAGGGUGCAGGCGUUAAUCGGAAUUACUGGGCGUAAAGCGUGCGCAGGCGGUCUUUUAAGUCAGAUGUGAAAUCCCCGGGCUUAACCUGGGAACUGCAUUGGUGACUGGCAGGCUUUGAGUGUGGCAGAGGGAGGUAGAAUUCCACGUGUAGCAGUGAAAUGCGUAGAGAUGUGGAGGAAUACCGAUGGCGAAGGCAGCCUCCUGGGCCAACACUGACGCUCAUGCACGAAAGCGUGGGGAGCAAACAGG